rnacentral:rRNA from 1 species
AGAGUUUGAUCCUGGCUCAGAUUGAACGCUGGCGGCAUGCUUUACACAUGCAAGUCGAACGGGGUUAAGGGGCUUGCUCCUUAAUCUAGUGGCGAACGGGUGAGUAAUGCAUCGGAACGUACCCGGGAGUGGGGGAUAACGCACCGAAAGGUGUGCUAAUACCGCAUAUUCUGUGAGCAGGAAAGCAGGGGACCUUAGGGCCUUGUGCUUCCGGAGCGGCCGAUGUCGGAUUAGCUAGUUGGUGAGGAAAGGCUCACCAAGGCGACGAUCCGUAGCGGUCUGAGAGGAUGAUCCGCCCACUGGGACUGAGC